ACUCCUACGGGAGGCAGCAGUGGGGAAUAUUGGCACAAUGGGCGAAAGCCUGAUGCAGCCAUGCCGCGUGUGUGAAGAAGGCCUUCGGGUUGUAAAGCACUUUCAAUGAGUGAGGAAAGGUGAGUAGUUAAUACCUGCUUGCUGUGACGUUAACUAUAGAAGAAGCACCGGCUAACUCCGUGCCAGCAGCCGCGGGUAAUACGGAGGGUGCAAGCGUUAAUCGGAAUUACUGGGCGUAAAGCGCGCGUAGGCGGCUUGUUAAGUUGGGUGUGAAAGCCCCGGGCUCAACCUGGGAACUGCAUCCAAAACUGGCAAGCUAGGAGUGUGUGAGAGGUGAGUGGAAUUUCCAGUGUAGCGGUGAAAUGCGUAGAGAUUGGAAGGAACAUCAGUGGCGAAGGCGACUCACUGGCAUAACACUGACGCUGAGGUGCGAAAGCGUGGGUAGCAAACAGGAUUAGAUACCCUGGUAGGACA
rnacentral:rRNA from 1 species